GGGGGCGAAACGGUCUCGACGGGGCCGUUGAACCCGUGGGAGCGAGUCGAGGUUUCCGGUACCGCGUUAAAAAGCCGGACAAAGAAAAGUGCCAACACUGAAUUUGCUCUCGCUGCUUAAUUAGAGUAAGCAGCCGCCCCUGUGAGGUUGUGGUUCGGGACCUCGCAGAAGGGUGUCAUAGCUCCGAACCUUGCUCGGGAUUGAGCUCCGCAAUCCCGGGGACUUUAUAGGAGCUUGGGGAAGUGCACCUUGCCUGUGUGGUGUAACUUCCCGACAACGAACACAGGCUGCGCUCGGAGAGCCCACGGGGGAUACGGCUUCGGACGCGGGUUCGACUCCCGCCGCCUCCACCA
rfam:Kosmotoga olearia TBF 19.5.1, complete genome.